rnacentral:rRNA from 1 species
UACGUAGGGUGCAAGCGUUGUCCGGAAUUAUUGGGCGUAAAGAGCUUGUAGGCGGUUUGUCGCGUCUGCUGUGAAAUUUCGGGGCUCAACCCCGAACUUGCAGUGGGUACGGGCAGACUAGAGUGUGGUAGGGGAGGACUGGAAUUCCUGGUGUAGCGGUGAAAUGCGCAGAUAUCAGGAGGAACACCGAUGGCGAAGGCAGGUCUCUGGGCCAUAACUGACGCUGAGAAGCGAAAGCAUGGGGAGCGAACAGG